rnacentral:rRNA from 1 species
UACGUAGGUGGCAAGCGUUGUCCGGAUUUACUGGGCGUAAAGGAUGCGUAGGUGGAUAUGCAAGUCAGAUGUGAAAUACCCGAGCUUAACUUGGGUGCUGCAUUUGAAACUGGGUGUCUAGAGUGCAGGAGAGGUAAGUGGAAUUCCUAGUGUAGCGGUGAAAUGCGUAGAGAUUAGGAAGAACACCAGUGGCGAAGGCGACUUUCUGGCUUAAACCUGACGCUGAGGCGCGAAAGCGUGGGGAGCAAACAGG